rnacentral:rRNA from 1 species
AACGAACGCUGGCGGCAUGCCUAACACAUGCAAGUCGAACGGGAUCCUAGCUUGCUAGGUGAGAGUGGCGGACGGGUGAGUAACACGUGGGAAUCUGCCUUUUGGUUCGGGAUAACCGCGGGAAACUGCGGCUAAUACCGAAUGCCCUCGAGAGAGGAAAGAUUUAUCGCCAGAAGAGGAGCCCGCGUCCGAUUAGGUAGUUGGUGGGGGUAAAAGCCUACCAAGCCGACGAUCGGUAAGCUGGUCUGAGAGGAUGAUCAGCCACACUGGGACUGAGAUACGGCCCAGACUCCUACGGGAGGCAGCAGUGGGGAAUAUUGGACAAUGGGGGCAACCCUGAUCCAGCAAUGCCGCGUGAGUGAUGAAGGCCUUAGGGUUGUAAAGCUCUUUUGCCAGGGAGAUGAUGACUGUACCUGGAGAAUAAGCCCCGGCUAACUUCGUGCCAGCAGCCA